rnacentral:misc_RNA from 1 species
UCGAGUUUAUUCAACUCCCAAACCCUAUGUGAACUUACCACUUGUUGCUUCGGCGGCGCUCUCGGGCGUCGCCGAGGGUAUCAAACUCUUUUUGUUUUUACAGCAUUAUCUGAGUGGCCGCAAGGCAAAAAAACAAAUGAAUCA